AUCGGAGCAUGCGCAUUGGGAUGGCGCGGGCUCGCGGCUGGGGGCGGCGCCUGCGUGGGCUGAGGGUCCGCGUGGGCUGAGGGUCCCCGUGGUCUGUUCCUCCCGCGCCGUUGUCACCGUUUACCGGUGAGAGAACGCGCCCCCCACGCCCACCCUGCUGCACCCUGAUGGAGGGGGCUGGAGCUGGGAUGUAGGCGUGAUGGGGGGAGCAGAUGCAGCCAUCCUGAACAUGAGCUGGAAGCCGUGUGUCAAAGAUGGGAGAGUAAUCACAUGGAAGGAACUGGAGUUACCAGUUUCCAUAGGAGUCUUAGAUUGGUGUGGUGGCCAUGCAACUCAAAACUCAAGAAAAUGCUUCAGGAGGGAGUGAAUUAAUGAAUUAAUGAAGAGAAUGUAAAUGGCUUCAGUGUUUACGGAGGACUUUUUGGCAGUAUUUUCUAAAAUAAAAAGUAACAAACUGUU